rnacentral:rRNA from 1 species
GACGUAGGGCGCGAGCGUUGUCCGGAUUUAUUGGGCGUAAAGAGCUCGUAGGCGGCUUGUCGCGUCGUCCGUGAAAACCUGCGGCUCAACUGCAGGCUGGCGGUCGAUACGGGCAGGCUGGAGUUCGGUAGGGGAGACUGGAAUUCCCAGUGUAGCGGUGAAAUGCGUAGAUAUUGGGAGGAACACCAGUGGCGAAGGCGGCUCACUGGACCGGUACUGACGCUGAAGCGCGAAAGCGUGGGGAGCAAACGGG